GUGGGGAAUAUUGGACAAUGGGGGAAACCCUGAUCCAGCGACGCCGCGUGAGUGAAGAAGUAUUUCGGUAUGUAAAGCUCUAUCAGCAGGAAGAAAAUGACGUACCUACUAGAGU
rnacentral:rRNA from 1 species